rnacentral:rRNA from 1 species
CAAUAGCGUAUAUUAAAGUUGUUGCAGUUAAAAAGCUCGUAGUCGGAUUUCGGGUUGGCGCGGUCGGUCUGCCGUUGGGUAUGCACUGACUGUCGCCUUCCUUUCCGGGGUAGAUCGUGCGUUUACUCGUGCGUUUCUCCUCGCGUUUACUUUGAGAAAAUCAGAGUGUUCAAAGCAGGCCUUUGCCAUUGUAUGUGUUAGCAUGGGAUAAUGGAAUAGGACUCUGGUGCUAUUUUGUUGGUUUCGAACGCCGGGGUAAUGAUUAAUAGGGACAGUCAGGGGCACUCGUAUUCCGUAGAGAGAGGUGAAAUUCUUAGACCCACGGAAGACGCACUACUGCGAAAGCAUUUGCCGGGGAUGUUUUCACUGA